CUCUGUGACUCCUACGGGGAGGCAGCAGUGGGGAAUAUUGCACAAUGGGGGAAACCCUGAUGCAGCCAUGCCGCGUGUGUGAAGAAGGCCUUCGGGUUGUAAAGCACUUUCAGUAGGGAGGAAGGUAGUGUAGUUAAUACCUGCAUUAUUUGACGUUACCUACAGAAGAAGCACCGGCUAACUCCGUGCCAGCAGCCGCGGUAAUACGGAGGGUGCGAGCGUUAAUCGGAAUUACUGGGCGUAAAGCGCAUGCAGGCGGCCUGUUAAGUCAGAUGUGAAAGCCCGGGGCUUAACCUCGGAAUUGCAUUUGAAACUGGCAGGCUAGAGUCUUGUAGAGGGGGGUAGGAAUUUCAGGUGUAGCGGUGAAAUGCGUAGAGAUCUGAAGGAAUACCAGUGGCGAAGGCGGCCCCCUGGACAAAGACUGACGCUCAGAUGCGAAAGCGUGGGGAGCAAACAGGAUUAGACACCCUGUAG
rnacentral:rRNA from 1 species